AUUGAACGCUGGCGGCAUGCUUUACACAUGCAAGUCGAACGGUAACAGGCCGCAAGGUGCUGACGAGUGGCGAACGGGUGAGUAAUGCAUCGGAACGUGCCCAGUCGUGGGGGAUAACUACUCGAAAGAGUAGCUAAUACCGCAUACGAUCUAUGGAUGAAAGCGGGGGACCGUAAGGCCUCGCGCGAUUGGAGCGGCCGAUGUCAGAUUAGGUAGUUGGUGGGGUAAAGGCUCACCAAGCCAACGAUCUGUAGCUGGUCUGAGAGGACGACCAGCCACACUGGGACUGAGACACGGCCCAGACUCCUACGGGAGGCAGCAGUGGGGAAUUUUGGACAAUGGGCGCAAGCCUGAUCCAGCAAUGCCGCGUGCAGGAAGAAGGCCUUCGGGUUGUAAACUGCUUUUGUACGGAACGAAACGGCUCUGGUUAAUACCCGGGGCUAAUGACGGUACCGGAAGAAUAAGCACCGGCUAACUACGCG
rnacentral:rRNA from 1 species